rnacentral:rRNA from 1 species
GAUGAACGCUAGCUGGAGGCUUAACACAUGCAAGUCGAACGGGAUUGGGGAACAAUACCCAUGAGAGCGGCGCACGGGUGAGUAACGCGUACACGACCUACCUCUAACAGGGGGAGAGCCCUGGGAAACUGGGAUUAAUAACGCAUAUAAUUCUGGAGAAUAAAGGUUUGGAAUGAAAGAUGAGGCGGUUAGAGAUGGGUGUGCGUCUGAUUAGCUAGUUGGUAAGGUAACGGCAUGCCAAGGCGAUGAUCAGGAGGGGGGGUGAGAGCCUGGUCCCCCACACGGGUACUGAGACACGGACCCGACUCCUACGGGAGGCAGCAGUAAGGAAUAUAGGUCAAUGGGCGAAAGCCUGAACCAGCCAUCCAGCGUGCAGGAAGUAGGCCCUAUGGGUUGUAAACUGCUUUUAUCAGGGAAGAAACCUCUGGAUUUACUCCGGAGCUGACGGUACCUGAAGAAUAAGCACCGGCUAACUCCGUGCCAGCAGCCGCCGUAAGAC